rnacentral:rRNA from 1 species
AUUGGACGCUGGCGGCAGGCCUAACACAUGCAAGUCGAACGGAUGAAGGGAGCUUGCUCCUGGAUUCAGCGGCGGACGGGUGAGUAAUGCCUAGGAAUCUGCCUGGUAGUGGGGGAUAACGUCCGGAAACGGGCGCUAAUACCGCAUACGUCCUGAGGGAGAAAGUGGGGGAUCUUCGGACCUCACGCUAUCAGAUGAGCCUAGGUCGGAUUAGCUAGUUGGUGGGGUAAAGGCCUACCAAGGCGACGAUCCGUAACUGGUCUGAGAGGAUGAUCAGUCACACUGGAACUGAGACACGGUCCAGACUCCUACGGGAGGCAGCAGUGGGGAAUAUUGGACAAUGGGCGAAAGCCUGAUGCAGCAAUGCCGCGUGUGUGAAGAAGGUCUUCGGAUUGUAAAGCACUUUAAGUUGGGAGGAAGGGCAGUAAGUUAAUACCUUGCUGUUUUGACGUUACCAACAGAAUAAGCACCGGCUAACUUCGUG